rnacentral:rRNA from 1 species
UGAGGAAUAUUGCGCAAUGGGGGCAACCCUGACGCAGCAACGCCGCGUGAGUGAGGAAGGUUUUCGGACCGUAAAGCUCUGUCGAGCGGGAAGAAGUGCAUGGUGGCUAAUAUCCAUCAUGCUUGACGGUACCGCUAGAGGAAGCACCGGCUAACUCCGUGCCAGCAGCCGCGGUAAUACGGGGGGUGCAAGCGUUGUUCGGAAUUAUUGGGCGUAAAGAGCGUGUAGGCGGCUGAAUAAGUCAGAUGUGAAAUCCCCGGGCUUAACCUUGGAAGUGCAUUUGAAACUAUUCAGCUGGAGUAAGGGAGAGGAAAGUGGAAUUCCUGGUGUAGAGGUGAAAUUCGUAGAUAUCAGGAGGAACACCGGCGGCGAAGGCGACUUUCUGGCCCUAUACUGACGCUGAGACGCGAGAGCGUGGGUAGCAAACA